AGUUGAUUAUUAGUACUCCAUAUGAAAAGCGUGGUCAUCGUCGUUCACCCAUCUCAUUAGCGUCGCCUCAUCAUAAGUCUAUCAUAAAACCUUCUCCGUCUAAUGUUCCUCCUGUUUGGAAAAAUAAUUGUAAAGGUCGUGAUAGUCCAAGAUCUUCUUCUUCAUGUAGAAAGCGUAAUGGCAAUCAUCUUUCGAUUUCAUUGGCUCCACUUCCUCCUGUUAAGUCCCUUCUAGGACCUCCCCCGUAUAAUGUGGCUCCACUUCCUCCUGUUAAGUCCCUUCUAGGACCUCCUCCGUCUAAUGU
rnacentral:lncRNA from 1 species